rnacentral:rRNA from 1 species
GCCGCGGUAAUUCCAGCCCCAAUAGCGAAUAUUAAAUUUGUUGCAGUUAAAAAGCUCGUAGUUGGAUCCAAGGUUAGGCAUGCCUGUCUGUUCUUAGUAGCAUGACUGUGUGUGUCUGCCUUUAUUAGUUGAAUGUUCAUUAUGGUGGUCUUCAUCGACUGCUAUGAUGUGCUCAACACGUUUACCUUGAAAAAAUCAGAGCGAUCAAGGCAGGCCUUCGUGCUUGUAUGUUGUUGCAAGGAAUAAUAGAAUAGGACUUCGGUUCUAUUUUGUUGGUUUUGAGAAUUGAAGUAAUGAACAAUAGAUACAGUCGGGGGCAUUUGUAUGGUGGCGUCAGAGGUGAAAUUCUGAGAUCGUCGCCAGACAAACUACUGCGAAAGCAUUUGCCAAGGAUGUCUUCAUUAAUCAAGAACGAAAGUCAGAGGUUCGAAGACGAUCAGAUACCGUCCUAGUUCUGACCAUAAACGAUGCCGACCUACAAUCGGGGGUGGUUUAUUAUAUUGACCCUCCCGGCUGUCCUCAGGAAACUUUAAGUUGGUUCUGGGGGGAAUAUGGUCUCAAGACUGAAACUUAAAGGAAUUGACGGAAGGGCACCACCAGGAGUGGAGCCUGCGGCUUAAUUUGACAACACGGGGAAUCUCACCCGGUCCGGACACUGGUAGGAUGGACAGAUUGAUAGCUCUUUCUUGAUUCAGUGGGUGGUGGUGCAUGGCCGUUCUUAGUUGGUGGAGUGAUUUGUCUGGUUAAUUCCGAUAACGAACGAGACUCUGUCCUGCUAAAUAGUCCAGUGGCAUCAAUCACUAUGUGAUUACAGCUGCUGUUACUUCUUAGAGGGAUUCGCGGAUUUAAACCGCAAGAAAUAGAGCAAUAACAGGUCUGUGAUGCCCUUAGAUGUCCGGGGCCGCACGCGCGCUACAUUGACAGUAGAAGCGAGUAUUUCUACCUGGUUCGAAAGAAUUGGGAAAUCUUCGAAUUACUGUCUCCACAGGGAUUGAGGUUUGCAAUUUUGCCUCAUGAACGAGGAAUUCCCAGUAGGCGCAAGUCAUCAGCUUGCGUCGAUUACGUCCCUGCCCUUUGUACACACCGCCCGUCGCUACUACCGAUUGAGUGCAUUAGUGAGGACCUCGGAUUGAGAACAUAGUGGCGCAAGUUACUUUGUUUUCGAAAAGUGGUUCAAAUUUGUGCAUUUAGAGAUAGUAAAAGUCGU